rnacentral:rRNA from 1 species
AGGACGAACGCUGGCGGCGUGCUUAACACAUGCAAGUCGAGCGGAAAGGCCCUUCGGGGUACUCGAGCGGCGAACGGGUGAGUAACACGUGAGUAACCUGCCCUAGGCUUUGGGAUAACCCUCGGAAACGGGGGCUAAUACCGGAUAUUCACUUUCCGUGGCAUCACGGGUGGUGGAAAGUUUUUCGGCUUGGGAUGGGCUCGCGGCCUAUCAGCUUGUUGGUGGGGUGAUGGCCUACCAAGGCGACGACGGGUAGCCGGCCUGAGAGGGCGACCGGCCACACUGGGACUGAGACACGGCCCAGACUCCUACGGGAGGCAGCAGUGGGGAAUAUUGCACAAUGGGCGGAAGCCUGAUGCAGCGACGCCGCGUGAGGGAUGAAGGCCUUCGGGUUGUAAACCUCUUUCGACAGGGACGAAGCGCAAGUGACGGUACCUGGAGAAGAGCGCCGGCCAACUACGUGCCAGCAGCCGC